rnacentral:misc_RNA from 1 species
GGAACAUAAAACGGUUCCAUGUUGCUUUUCUGUCCACAUGUGCAAUAUAAAAAGGACAGGAAAAUGAAAUAAAAGAGAAACUUACCUCCGCAAAAUUUAGUACUAAUAGGUCAAGCAAGAUAUCAAGUUUUUCAUUUUUUCCCAAGAAUGAGUAUUUUCUAGACGGUUCCAAAUCAAUUCUCAUUUCACAUAAUCUAUACAACGACAUACGGAAAACUUCAUGAAUACUCAUCCAAACCCUUGCUUUAUGUUUUAGUACUGUGCUUCUUCAAAACAAGCCUUUUAUUCAAUGAAAGGUAAGGGAACACAGAGUUAAAAUUUGUAAACCAUGUUCUCUGUAAAGCCCACAUCCUUGAGUAGUCCAGUUAGCUCGCCUUGCUCACGAGGAUUUGGCUUUUCCCCAGAUAAAUGUCUUAUCAUCCCAGGAGGACCACAUACAAGAAUAAGUGUAUCAUCACCAGGCCGAGGUAAUCCUUUCACAAUCAUGUUCUUUGAUACGUAACCUAUGCCGCCUCUCCAAUCAUUGGUUGGAUUGUCUACAGUGUAAAACACCUUGAGAUUCGGAUGGGUGGCUGCAAGUACAUCAAGUUUCUUCUUUAGCAGUAUGUCAUCAGGUGACAAAUUAGCAUAAACCAAUGAGACCUGAGUAUUAUCAUCAGGAUUCUUAAGAAUGGCCUCUAUCACCUGGAGCAUAGGAGUGAUGCCACUGCCCCCCGCAAUCAUGCCUAUAUGUUUCUUCAUGUUUGAACUGUAACGCAAUUUCUCAAUGGGCCCUUUUACUUGAAGUAUAUCCCCCGGCUUCAGUUUUGCAAAAUGCUGGCUCAUUUUCCCUUCUGGAUAAACCUUAAUUAACAAAUCAAAGUAUCCCUUGGCUUCUGGAUCAGAUAUAGGAGUGUAAGGCCGAAUGGCAUAUUUUGGUUUUCCUUCAGCAUUUUCUCCCAUUGGUGCCCUCGUAAGAAUGCAAGAUGCAAUAUCAAGACCUAACUUUGAAGAAGGAUCAAAUGAAAACCUGAAUAGAUGACUAUUGUGGCUAACUGGAGCUCGAUCUUGCAGCUUAAAUUCAAUCCAUUUAUCAGGAUUUAGAGCAACUUUUUUACCCGAAUCUUCACUGAUUUGCUCCAAGUACACCAAAUUCGCAGAAGAAUGGCAGUAAUAAUAAGAGACGCAUCCAGCAACGGCUGCAAUAGCUCCAAAGGGGAAGCGAGGAUCAGCAAAAUUUGACUUGGAAUCGCCUCGAAAUGCUAUGGGUGCAGCCUUGGCUAGCUUCCUCAACAACGCUGCCAUUUUCACUCUCUC